rnacentral:rRNA from 1 species
GACGAACGCUGGCGGCGCGCCUAAUACAUGCAAGUCGAACGCUUCUCCGAAAGAUGCUUGCAUCUUUCAUAUGAGAAGAGUGGCGGACGGGUGAGUAACACGUGGGUAACCUGCCCUUUAGCGGGGGAUAACAUUUGGAAACAGAUGCUAAUACCGCAUAAUUGGUUUUGCCGCAUGGCAGAACUAUGAAAGACGCUUUACGGUGUCACUAAAGGAUGGACCCGCGCUGCAUUAGUUAGUUGGUGAGGUAAUGGCUCACCAAGACCGUGAUGCAUAGCCGACCUGAGAGGGUGAUCGGCCACACUGGGACUGAGACACGGCCCAGACUCCUACGGGAGGCAGCAGUAGGGAAUCUUCGGCAAUGGACGAAAGUCUGACCGAGCAACGCCGCGUGAGUGAAGAAGGUUUCGGAUCGUAAACUCUGUUGUUAGAGAAGAAUAAGUGGGGAGAGUAACUGUUCCCACCUUGACGGUAUCUAACCAGAAAGCCACGGCUAAC